rnacentral:misc_RNA from 1 species
CCCAUGCAGCAAACUGACAGAUAACCAUGUGGAUUUUGCGGUUUAUAUGCAUUUGAAUUUUCCUUUCUACCAUUUCGUUCGCGUGUAGUGCGUUGAGCACGUGGAUAUUCCGUCAAAUAAAACAUUGUGAUGUGCGAAGCCCGAAAAUAGUUAGGUUAAGAAAUGAUUGAAGACGUUGAAAGUAGUUUAGUGUCGUCGAAAUUAGAAGUUGUCAGUGGAAAACAACAGAAUGGGGUUGGAAACCACGAAGAAAACAACAACAAACACCCCGCAGAUGGGGGAUCCAGGGCUUGGGUGAUAAUGUUGGCUUCGUUCUUUUGCAAUGGAAUAUUAUUCGGUGUCAUCAAUUCCUAUGGUGUCCUUUAUUCAGAAUUCCACGAUAAUUUACUUAAAAGAAAUGUUACCAAUGCAUCGGGAAAAGCAGCUUUGAUUGGCUCCUUCUCAAUGGGCACAGUAUUCUUCGUUUCUCCAGUAGCUGGAGUACUUACUGAUUAUAUCGGCAUCAGACGGACCACUUUCUUGGGCGGCGCCAUAGCUUCUGGUGGCAUGUUACUAUCUUCUUUCUUCAUAGACGAUAUAGUCAUCAUGUGUAUUACGUAUGGAGUUAUGUAUGGGCUAGGAGGAGCCUUAAUGUACACACCCUCACUGGCGAUUCUAGGACACUACUUUAAGAAAUAUUUAGGAAAAGUAAAUGGAUUCGUAACAGCUGGCAGUUCGGUGUUUACGAUAGCAAUGCCAUAUUUGAUAGACGUAUUUUUGAAAAAUUUUGGGAUAGAAUGGACCCUGAGGUUUUUAGCCAUAAAAUCGAGUUUCAUUAUGCUGUUCGCCUUCCUAUUUAAGCCAGUAACUACAACUAGUUCAACCAAAAAGAAGCAAAUAUCAUUUCGCAGUAUUUUUAACCUUGCGUUACUGAAAAAUUUCAAAUAUGUCGUCUGGGUGUCGACGAUCGCAUUUUCAUUAUUCGGCUAUUUCGUACCUUACGUCUAUAUGCCGAAACUUGUGAAGGAGAAAUUUGAAGAUGGCUCUGAUACUAAGCUGCCCAUAAUGUGUAUUGGAAUAGCAUCAGGUAUUGGAAGACUUAUUUUUGGCUAUAUAGCUGAUUUGCCAAAAGUAAACAGGAUAUACAUGCAACAGCUCAGUUUCUUUAGCAUAGGUCUCAUGACUAUGCUAUUGCCUUUCACUGUUGGACACUAUGCAUGGCUGGUUGUCAUUACGUUAGCCAUGGGGCUUUUUGACGGCUGCUUUAUUUCUCUCUUAGGUCCCAUUGCAUUUGAUCUCUGCGGCCGAGAAGGGGCUACCCAAGCCAUCGGUUUCCUGUUAGGGCUAUGUUCAAUUCCUCUAACACUCGGACCAUAUGUUGCUGGUCUAAUUAUCGACAGCCAGCAUACUUAUACGCUACCAUUCGUAUUGGCUGGCAUCCCACCUGUGAUAGGCUCAGUAGUAAUGUUUGUGAUAAAAUGUUCAGAAGCCCCAAAAUCGAAUGUUUCCAUAUACAGAACGAAUUUUGUGAAAGAAGAACCAUAUGAAAAAGAAACACUGGCCAAGCAAGAAGAGGACGUCAUGUAGUUAAAGUCAAUCAGAUAAUUGUCUCGAGAAAGAAUAUUUGCUUUCACUUAUUCUGCUAAUUGAGCUUUUCAGGGUAAUAUUUUGGAAACUUGCAGCAAUUAUGAAUCUUUUUAAACGAGGGAUCGUAUUUGAUCAUUUUUAUACAAGGUGUCCCAAAAGUAGUGGAACGGUCGAAUAUUUCGCGAACUAAACAUCGGAUCGAAAAACUGAAAAAUACGUGUUCAAUCAUUUUCAAAAAUCUAUCCAAUGACACCAAACACCAAUCCCCACUAUACCCCCUGGGGUGGGGUGGGGGGUAACUUUAAAAUCUUAAAUAGAAAGCCCCAGUUUUUCUUGCAGAUUUUAAUUCGUUACGUAAAAGUAAGCAACUUUUAUUCAAGAACUUUUCGAACUGUGGAUAGAUGGCGCUAUAAUUGGGAAAAACGAUUUAUCCUGAUACCAUAGGUAAAUUAUAAAAACGGUCUAGUAUCUCACAAAAUGCACUUCCAAAUGAGAAACUAAAAAAAAAAGAUUUUUAAUCUUUUUCGACCCUCUGGAGGUGGGGUGGGGGUAACUUUAAAAUCUUAAAUAGCAACCCCCACUUUUUAUUACAGAUUCGGAUCCGUCAUGAAAAAUUAAGCAACAUUUAUUCGAAACAUUUUUUAGGAUUGUUAAUAGAUGGCGCUUUAACUGGAAAAAUACGAUUUAUUAGCGCCAUCUAUCAAAAAUUUAAAAAACUAUUUCGAAUAAAUGUUGCUUAAUUUUUUAUGACGAAUCCGAAUCUGCAAUAAAACGUGGGGGUUGUUAUUUAAGAUUUUUAAGUUACCCCCCCCCACCCCCACCCCACCUCCAGGGGGUGGGUUGGAGGGUAAUGUUUGGUGUUAUUCGAUAGGUUUUCGAAAAAGAUUAAAAAUCUGUUUUUUGGUUUCUCAUUUGGAAGUGUAUUUCGUGAGAUAAUGACCGUUUCUAUAAUUUACCUAUGGUAUCAGGAUAAAUCGUUUUUCCCAAUUACAGCGCCAUCUAUUCACAGUUCAAAAAAAUGUCUUGAAUAAAAUUUGCCUACUUUUACGUAAAGAAUCCAAAUGUGCAAGAAAAACUGGGGGUUUCCAUUUGAGAUUUUAAAGUUACCCCCACCCCACCUCCAGGGGGUGUAGGGGGAUUGGUGUUUGGUGUCAUUGGAUAGAUUUUUGAAAAUGAUUAAAAACGUAUUUUUCAGUUUUUCGAUCCGAUGUUUAGUUCGCGAAAUAUUCGACCGUUCCGCUACUUUUGGGACACCCUAUAUAUGGUAACUGCAAUUAUGAAAUGCAUAUUAUUUAUUUUUAAAACGGUUUUAAUUAAAACAUUAUUUGUAGUCCUAAUUAAUUAAGUCUAAAAUAUAGUUAUAUGUGAUACAUGUAGGUAUAUUCUUAAGUCACAAAAGAAAUCUUAAUUUUUUUCGUACUCUUUCUAAUUUGAACAUUUCACGUUGUCGUGAAUAAAUCUCUCGUGAAUGAAAAUGUGAUUAAAUGGAGACCAUGGCUAAGAAGAAGCGUAGAAAGAUCUUAACAAAUAUGGUAUAAGAAAGAAGGACUCAAUUGGUACCGGCAAAUCCAGAAUAGAGAAAACGGGAGAGCAAUAAGAUAAAAGAUAGAGAGCAGAUGCAGACGAAGAAGAAAAACUCAUCUACUCGUAAACUAAACAUUGAUAACUAGAGCAAUUUUGGUCACAUCCUCAUUAUUUAGUAAAAAAGCGUCUAAGGGCCGGUUGUUCGAACGCUAAUCAACAAUGAUCAUUAUUAAAUAUUUAAUUACUGUCACCAAAACUGUCAAUGUCAACUUUGUUUGGGUUGCUGAAAACAUAAUUAAUUACAAUUAUGAGAUUUAUUAUUAAUUAUGUUAAUAAUUAUUGUUAUUUUAAUUGAUUAUAGUCUCAGAAUUGUAAUUAAUUAUGUUUUAACAAUUGACAUUGACAGUAAUUAAUUAUUUGAUAAUGAUCAUUGUUGAUUAGCGUUCGAACAACCGGCCCUUAAUGAUAUUUUUACUUCGACCGAUUAAAAUUACUUAGAAACAUUAUAGUAGCUCGUUCUUGGCCGAGAUCUAUUAUAGUUAAUAUUCUUGCCAUUUAUGUUUUAAAUAGGGCUUUUCAUUCACAGUCAUUUGUUUCGAGCUUCUGUCAUGUGUCACAUAAUAUUAAUAUAUCUACGUCGUACGUUAUUGGUAUUACCAAUGAUACAAACCGAAGACGUAUGACGUAAAUAUAUUAAUAUUAUGUGACACAUGACAGAAGCUCGAAACAAAUGACAAUCGAUGAAAAGUCCUAUAGUCAUGUUUUGAUAAUUUUUAAGUGCCAUUUCGUACAGCUGCAAGUUUUCAAAUUUUAACAUUAUAAUACAAUUACUGCCACUAUACAACUUUUAAAUGAUUGCUUUUUAGCAAAUAUGAUAAAUAAAUUUAAUAUUUGUGGUAUAGUGGCAAUAAUUGGGGUUUGUUUGAAGUUUUUACAACUAGUUUUAAUUUUAUAGAAUUUUUUGUAUGAAUGCACGUUGCUAUAUAUUUUUAAUUCUAUAGUGCAACUUCUAAUUUCACCAAUUUUAACGAAAUUUAGUGCAUUAUUAGGCUGUGAAAACUGAAUAUCAAAAACAAAAGAUGUGAUAAUGUUCGCCUGGUAUAUUAAAAAUUACCAAUACUUUGUUGACAAGUGCAAUAUAUAAUUUAUUGUAUACAGCACAUUCUAUCAGACAUAUAAAAUAUUUUAAUGAAAAAAUAAAUAAUUAUAAAAUAAAAUUUUCACUAUACACUGUCGGAAAAUACUAACCUAGAAUGACAAUUGUCAUUUUACCCGUUGACAUUGAUUGGUUUUUCCAGAGAACGUCUUAAGUGUAUGUUGGUGUACCUCUUAGAGUAGGGAAUUUUACUCGUGAAGUUGACCAGUAAAAUUCCUUACUUUAAGUUGUACAGUACGUACAAUAUAGAUACCGUUGCACGUCAUCCGCGUCAUAGCACGUGACGUCACAUGAUAUUAUUUUUCUCGUGAGCAUCUUUCAGUGCGUCACAGUUUUUCGAUUUCUUUCUAACGCAUUAAAUUGUAUGUGACAGAAAAAAGGCACGUCGGUGAUUACAGACAUUUAUAACAUUUAUUCUAGUUGUCGAUAGAUGGCGCUAUAAUCGAAAAAAAUUAUUUACGAAUUAUAUAAUAUAUCUGCGAAUAUAAUCUGUACAAUUUAUAAGACUAUACAAAUCAAAGAAAAUACCAUUUUAUAAAUGCAAUAAAUACAAUUGAUUUGUUUUAUGCCAAAUUGCAAAUAAAAUGUGACAACUGUCAGAUUUAACUAAAAUGUCAUGUUAGAUUAAUGUUGUAAAUGUGUAUUAUCACGAACUUACCUUUUUUUCUAUCAUUUAUGACGCACUGAAAAAUGCUCAUGAAAAAGACCAUACCAACACGAAAUAUUUAAGUGGUAGGUAUGUUCCUUUUUAGAACCGUUUAGCCAAGUACAUACACUGGAAUUACGGCUACUAGACAUAUUUUAUUAUAUACGCGUAGGAAUGAUAUUAGAAGAUUUCUAUUAAUGUAAAUUGAAAUAAACAUACCCUAACUUGUUUCAUUUAAUUUGUGUAAGUGGAAUAUAAAGCGUUUUUAUAAAGCACACUCAUUCGAAUUGCACUCUAACUGAACUAGAACAAAGUAGACAUUUUGGCAUAAAUUGGUAACAUUUAUUUGACAGUUGCAGUUUUAUUCUUUACUAUAAGUAUUUGUUUUAUUAUAUUUAUAGUUUUUAUUAUUUACUUUAACGUAAGAUUAUAACUUAAUUCUUGUUUUCUAUUUCUAAUGUGUUUAUUUAUUUACAUUGAAUAUUGUUGUUUUGUUGUAUAAUCCACUUCCGCAAUAAUUAUGUGAUAUAUUUGAUUUAAAAUGAAUUCAAGACAUUUUUGUAAUUGGGCAACAAUGUCUACUUAUCUCUGACGUAGAUAAUGACGUGCAAAGGUAUGUAUAUUGUACGGACUGUACCUAUAUGGAGAGUACUUAUGACGUCAUUUGUAUGUGUAUGUGUGGUCACAUAAAUCGUAGAAGAGAAGACAAUGUGGUGACUGGUAUUAUUGUCGCCUGAUAGGGAUUAAUCAAAUUUUAUUCUUUUAUCAAUCGAUCUAUGUUCAGAUUUACACCUACAUACACAUAAUAUUGAUUUGUUAAUGGUGUUGGUAAUUAAAACUUAUAUUAUUUUAAUUUGGAAAAAUGUGAAAUUAGUAAUGUACUUGGAAUUAAAAAUGUGGUGUUCUUUUAACAAAUUUAAAUUAAUUUAAAAGUAUUAGUAGUGAAUCGACGUUUUUUUAUUUAUACCAUUAGUUACUUAGAAACAUGUUUAAGCAGUUUCGAUUCUUUUUAAGUUACAUUUAUAUUUUUUGGUAUUAGAAUUAUUAGGGUGAGACAGAUUUAAAGUACAGAGGCUUCCAGAUUUAGUUGUGGCGCAUAUUUAAUAGAUCGCCGUCCAGGUUUGGACUAAGCCGGUUUGGAGACCUUUUAAAUGAAGUCAAUCCUCUGCAGAUAUAAAAUGCACACCUUUCAGGCGGGAUCAAUGAAUGAGCUUCUCCUAGACGUAAGUCCCUAUCUCUAAUUGUAUUAUUUAUCCAUCAACUGCGUCGCGUCGGUCCACUCGUGAAUUUCAAUUGAAAGCCGCAAGUCCGUUUGGAUCUUAUACUGUUGCACUUAAAUUUUUAUAUUGUGGCCAACAUGUAUGUAGCUUGAACCAUGGAGCCAACUAUUGAGCCUAAGAUGAGUAGAUGCGUUGAUAUAGGAACAAAACAAAAUUAUCAUCUUGUGGUAUUAAUUAUAAAAAAUUGAUAUGAAGAUUUUAUUACUAAUUACGAAAAUUUAUAUCUAAGUAAAGUGAACUUGAUGAAAUCAAUAUGUUUAUAAAAAUCUGUACAAUCUGCACCAAAAGUUUUGCGUUGUGUAGUGUCAAAAUUCUAAUUUGCGAGAAAUCGAAAAAUGAUUAUUGAGAAUAAAUUGAAUAUGAACAUUAACAUUUAUGUGUCAUAUCAGUCAUACGCGUAAUAGUCAAAUCAUUUGGUAGUUUUACCUGAAAAGUUUUCCGGGAGUAUUAAAAAUUGGGAAUUUUAUGGAUUUCGGUAUGCUCUUUUCCAACUUCAACUUUGCUACCUCGUAUCUCCGCCGCUCGCGCCGCCAUAUUGAAAAAAUGGCGCCUAAUAACAGUUUUUUGGGAAUAUCUCCUUUCCGCCGAAUUUUACGGAAAAAACAUUUAUGUACAAAAUUAAACUAGAAAAAAUUUUCUACAAUAUAUGUAUUUAUAAUUUCAAUUUUCCAAACUCCGGAAAAUUUUCCAGGUAACCCUCUAUUUUCGACCAAAUUACUGAACUAUAAUACAAAUAAUGAGAAAAGAAACAAUGAUUAGUAAUAAAAACAGAGACAUAGCACUGGAAACUAUUGAAAAAAAUUAAGAAAAGAAAAAAAAACUAUUAUCCUAAUCCAGAUCUGGCCAUAUGGCUCUCACUCCGUCUAAGGGAAAAAUUCUGUCAUCCCAGAUACCUACGGCUAAAAAGGAUUGAGCUCUGGUGGGACUCUUUCCCCGUGUUAUCGAGCCCUAGGUGACUUGGUAUGCUGGAGUAUUAGUUCUAAAAUAAUAUUAUACAUACUUAUAGUACUGAGAUAUGUUUCGAAAAUGUGGACUAUGUCCAUUAUCUACAAAUCUUUGAAUAAAAGAUUUUAAAAAGGAUAUUUGCUACAAUCUGAGAAGAUAACUGAAUGAAACUACCCAGCCAAAUGAUCCCUAGUACUAUUGUAUGAAGUAAUUGGGAGUAAACUGAAAACUGAGGUGAAAGGAUUAUGUAAAAGGAUUGGCAAUGUACAUGGUGGAACAGAAUAAGGCUCAAAUAGAUGUUCUACUAUUGAUGAUGAUGGUAAUGAUGGUUAAUCAUUGACUAUAAAUAAAUAAAACUAAAUAGGAAUUCACGGUUUGGAACUUUAAAACUGAUAAUAAGCUGAAAAACCUGUAAUGUCCUGUAUCAUUUAUUAUUUUAGGGAUCGUCACAGUAUGUGUAAGUUUUAAACAAAAUCUAGGAUGUACAUAUUUCGUUCUUCCCCUCAUGCAAUAUGAUAUACAGCACAGGUGACUGGUGAGAUCUUAUAUGAUCGUCAAAAAAAAAACAUAUUUUUACUCAAAACUAAGGUGUAGCUAGAAAAUCACUUUCUAAGCUUCUUCAGGAGCGUGAAAGAAACGAUAUGGUAUUGGUGAUUGGUGACAAAUAAGGGAGUAUAAGCGGAGGCGAAAACAAUUGUUGUUUAAACUUCUGAUAGUGACAGCUUAGUCGUAUCUUCCCAUAGAUACCCAAAACGAGGCGUCCAAAUCUGGAAGAUAUUUAGUUGUAGCAUAAAUACCUAAACAUAAAUUGUCAUUGUUCAUCAUGCAUAUAUUUUUUAUUUAUUUUAUAAUUCGGCUUUAUUUACAUUGGAAAUAUUCGGAACAGGUAAUAUUUUUUCUUGUAUCUAUCUUUUUGAUCUCAUCGGGCCUCAGGAACCAGAAAUCGAGUUAUUUUCUUCUUCGCUCAAAUCCUUAUGUCUCUCAGCGUCGGCGUCGGUUUGUUUAUUUUAAUCGUUGUUGCUUAUCCAUUCCUUCGAGUUUUUUCGGUAUACACUCAUUGCUCUCAUGUCUUUAAUGGUAUUUCCUCUUUUAUUCAAAUUUUGGUUAUUAUAUUUAUCCAGCUUCACCUUUGUACUUUCUUUUUUCUUUUAUUGGUUCUCGUUUCUUUAUUACCCUUGCUUCUAUUAUCUUCUUUGUUGAAUUGUUUUGGCUUUUCAUCAUUAGAUGUUGGGAACAGCCCAACUAUUUCCUCUCGAUGUUUUUCAGUAUAGGUUUCUGGUUUAUCUGUUGUCUAAUUUGUUAUUUCUCAAUCUAGGUGUAUAUUUUGGUCUUUCAAGUAAUCCUAAGAUAUUUAAUUUUUACAAUUGUUAUUUUUGUUUUCUGUUUAUUUUUGUGUAAUAUCCAUGCUUCACUGUCAUAUACAGGGUGUCCAGAAACUCUACCGACAAAAGAAGACAGGAGAUUCCUCAGAUAAUUUUAAGACAAUUUAACCCAAUUCACCUAGUUCGAAAAUGCUUCUGAAGGGAGCUAGAGCUCUUUGAAGAUGGCGUCAGGAAAUUAGUUUUUCUUAAAUACCUUCAGAAGGCUUCUAUUUAGAAAAACGAAAAUUGGUAUGCAUAUUUACUUUUCAGAGAUGAAUCGAUUCCAUUGAUUGCAAAUUUCUAGUACCGGUCAUAGGCGUCCGUUUUGGGUAGAGCAACGGGUAUUUUAUCGUAUAACUUUUUGUCCUUAACUUUUAUGCAUUUUUGACACCGGAUUAUUAAAUUGUGAGGUAUUAUAGUACUAGAAGGUACUCUUGCUUUAAGUCGGUAGGAUGCACCGUUUUCUAGAAAAAUCGAUUUGAAAGUUUUUCGUUUUUGGAAUUUGAAAAAAAAAUUGAAAGAACUUUUCAACAAAAAGCGAAGUAUUUUACCAACAUAAAGUAAGAGUAACUUUUAGUACUCGAAUACCUCAUAAUUUAAUAAUCUAGUGUCAAAAAUGCUCGAAAAUUAAAGACAAAAACAUUAUGCUACAAAAUAACUGUUGACCUACCCAAAACGGACGCCUAUGACCAGUACUAGAAAUUCGCAAUUAAUGAAAUGAUUUAUCUCUGGAAUAUAAAUAAAUGUACCAGUUUUCGUCUUUCUAAACAGUUUUUUUUUGAAAUUUUUUUUUGUAAUUCAGAAAGUGAAAAAUUUUCAAAUCGAUUUUUCUAGAAAACGGUGUGUCCUACCGAUUUAAAACAAGAGUACCUUUUAGUACUAGAUUACUUCACAAUUUAAUAAUCCAGUAUCAGAAAUGCAUAAAAGUUAAAGAUAAAAAAGUUAUGCGAUAAAAUAACCGUUGCCCUACCCAAAACGGACGCCUAUGAUCGGUACUAGAAAUUUGCAAUGUAUCGAUUAGAUUUAUAUCUUGAAGAUAAAUACGUGUACCAAUUUUUGUUUUUUUAAAUAGAAGCGUUCUGGAGGUAUUUAAGAAAAACUAAUUACAAGACGCCAUCUUCAAAGAGCUCUAGCUCCCUUAAGAAGCAUUUUCGGACUAAGUGAAUUGGGUUAAAUUAUCUUAAAUUUACCUGAGGAAUCUCCUGUCUUCGUUUGUCGGUAGAGUUUCUGGACACCCUGUAUAAUACAAAGGAUAACGAUGGCAUUACAAACUUUAAAUUUAACUCUUGUAUUUAUAUCUUUAUUUCCAAACAUUGUUUUAUUUUUUUAUGCACAGUAUGUGUAGGGGACAACGAUUGUGGUAAAAACUCAUUUUACACAGUUUUACAUGUGUAUUUAUUUCUUGCUUUCAAAAUAUUAUUUUAUUCAAUGCAUAGUAUGUGUUAGUUACCUUUUUCGUCUUUUUGUUAUAUGUAUAUACAUACGUCUAUUUUUCCAUCAUUACAAAUUUUAGUCUCCUAAGCCAGGGGUCUCCAAUUAUUUUCCCUGAGGGUCCGUUUCGAAAACCUAUGACACUUCCGGGGUCCGGAUUUAUGCUGCCUGUGUCUGACUGUUCUGAUUCCGUUUCUUUGUGGAUUCUUGUUAAAAAAUAUCCCCUAUAAACAAAUCAGAAGGGUGCCAGGCAAAAUUUUUGGGCAUAAAUUGUUUAAUAUUUUUUUAACAAAUUCAAAACAUCACCUUUUUUGCCCGCGAAAAUAUGUUUUUGGCAUUUUUGGGUCAUCUUAAAUAAAAAAGAUCUGUCAUUUUAUUAAAACUUAAGAGUUUUCAAGCAUCGCAAAUGCAUAUUUUCGCAUUUUUCAGAUUUUAAAUCGCUUAUAACUAGAAAACUAUCAACUUUUCAGAAAUAUGACAAGAUACCUUUAUUGUUUAUAAUUACCCAAGAAACCUAAAAAUACAUUUUCCGAGGCAAAAAAGUAAUUUUGAAUUUGCUUAAAAAAUUGUUUCACCCGCACGUUUUUGAACAGGAAUCCGCAAAGAAAUCGAGUCAGAAACAUUUUUCAUACGAAAGUGACCUCACACAUAGACUAAUAUGAAAAGGAAAACUAAUAAUAUCUGAUUGUUUUUUGGUUACAAUAUACUUUUCUGUAAGUUUUCCUGGUACAAUAAAUAAAAUAUGAAUUCAUUGUGUAUUGUUUUGAUGUUAUAUUGAUUAUCAGUAUAUUUUGAAAACAGCAGUAUUGUAAAUUGUUACUGAAUAUUUUAAAAAUUAGGAAUUUAUAUUUUGAAUGCUAAUGAAGUUUUUAGACAUCUUCAAUUUUGUAGAAAGAAACUGAGGAAAUUAAAAUAAAUAAUAAUAGUACAAAAUGCUAAUUAACAUGUUAUCUUUUCUACAUUAGUUUCAAUGCAAGGUGUUUGUUGCAAACUUAUUAAAUCUGAAAAUUAUUUUAAUUAAAUGCACAUCUGAAAAGUACUCCUACUUAAUAUCUAGUAGAGAGAAAAUGAAUAUAAAAAAUGCACAUGACAAUUUUAUAUUACAGCUUACUUAAUUUCAAAAUUAAUGAUUAGUAAGUAUAACAAUAAGGGGGAAAACUCUUUAUAAAAUUAAAUUAUCAGAGAGAAAAAUGACAUUUUUUUAUGUAUAACCUGUCUGAAGUUUGGAGUGAGCUUAGUGCAACUGAGUCUCAUUAGGGAGUUGGGAUAUUCAUCUGUUAAGUGGGAUCUCUACCGAUUUUUAAUAAAGUUCAUUCUUGAUAAAGCGGCUUCGCACACAUAAGUUGAGCCAAACAUAGUACACAAUUUCAUGGCCAAACAUUUUCAAAAUUGCCAAACACUGGGUAUAUUCUGAAUUUAUUGAGGGUCCGCACAAAACUAGCUUACGGUCCGGAUGCGGACCGCGGUCCGCUAAUUGGUGACCCCUGUCCUAAGCAAUCAUAUUUAUGUUUCUACUAUCUUCAGUUAUUUCUCUUUGAUUUUGAUUGUUUGAUUCACUGUUUUGUUUUUAUUAUUUAUUAUAAUUAUUUUGCUCCUUUCGUCGUUUAUUUCCUUCUUCAUAUCUUCUAUCCAUUCUCUUGGAUCUGUCAAUUUCUUCAAUUGUUCGUAACUUUCUGCUAAAAUAACUAGAUCGUCUACAUUCUAUUAUCUACUAUCUUCUUACUUUAUAUCUCUUUGCAUACCGAAAUUUUCAGAUCUUUUCCAUUUGGUUCCAGUUUUUUUCUGGCUCUUGCUUGGACUGCAUUGUAGGCGACCAUGUCAUUCAUAUUCUUUGUUCUUCUAUCGAGUUAAAGUAAUUUCUGGUGUUUAGUUUGUUUUCUAAUCUAUUUAAGGGGCAUCAUCCAUAUUGUUCUUGCAUUGUAUUGUAGAUGUUUUAAAACAACAUUAAUUUCUGGUGUUUAGUUUGUUUUCUAAUCUAUUUAAGGGGCAUCAUCCAUAUUGUUCUUGCAUUGUAUUGUAGAUGUUUUAAAACAACAUUUUUCAUCAAAGAUCAUUAACAUACUAAAUAGUUUUAUACACACGUCUUAAUAUUUUCAACAUACUUUAAUAAUAGAUCUCGCAUUUAAUAGUAUAGUUUACAUUCAAAUCAUAUGCAAACUAUUUGUAAUCAAAAUAGUAAAAGAUGAAGCCGUAAUAGAUUUGUUCACAAACCAUAUGACAUUUAUCUAGGUUAAAAUAGUAGUUCUUUCAGUGUUAUAUUGAGCUUAUAAUACUUACCUAAAGUACUAGGUUGUUAUAGGAGCUUGUAUAGUCACCGUUAGAAUAGCAUACAAGUGUAGUCUCUGACUAGUGUUUUCGUAGUUAAUUACGGAUCUUUAUGCCAAUCUGUAAGUCUGUUCCCUAAGUUUCCAGAAGUAGAAUUUAUUUAUAAAAAUUUCUGUUGAGACACACGAGAAUAAUCUUAAUUAGUUUAGCUAAAGCUAGACCUUUUGGUAACAGAUAAUUUUAAUAAAUAUUCUCUUCUCUUCUUUCUAAUUUGAAGCUGGUCGUUACCUUUUUUACUAACCUGCCAUAGUUAUUUAUGUAUAUCUAUAUGUUUUUAAAUAUUUUAUAAUCAAAAUCAUUGUCUUUAUUAUACUAUUUUGUCUACAUGUCAACCAAAGAUUUUGUUGUUCCUUGCUCUCACCCACUUAAAAUGUACGACAAUAACAUUUGGGAGAAAAGAAUCUCAUAUCGAAUAUUUGUGAUUGUAUUGUAAACUACACGAAAGAUAAAAUUAUGAAUAGUAGUAGGCAAUAAUUAUGUAUAACACCUAUUUUGUAAUAUCGUUAAAGAGAAAAAAGAUAAUAUAUUAUAUCCAUCGUUAAGGUUAGCAUUUAAAGAGAAUGAUUCCUGCCGUAUAGACUUUUAUCUUUUACAUAUCAAUACAAAAUAUUAAUUGUUAAUAAAAAUUUGUUAAUAGCGUA